AUGUACACACGCACACGUGUGUGAGUCCACGUCGGUGCGUGUUUAUGCGUGUGCGUUGCCCAGCCUCGGAAAGAAUGGCAGGACUCUGAGUUGGGGGACGUGCUCAGAGUGAACAAAUCAUGCUAAUUGUUUUGGGAAGACUGUGAAAGUUAGACCCAAGAUGAAGGCAGAGAAGGAGGCUUUCUCUUGGGCAUCAGCUGCUUUUGCAGCACCUCUCCUCUUGAUCCUUGCAGUUCUGAUUCACUCAGCAGGUGUUCAGGGGGUGAACAUUACCAGUUUGGAGACGCUGAUCAGAGGGACAGUAGGUGGAGAAGCUCUGCUCUCUGUCCGAUACUCAAGCACCAGUCUGGAUCCUCCUGUAAUCAAAUGGCAGCUGAAGAGGGACAAACCUGUUACAGUGGUCCAGUCCAUUGGCACGGAGAUCAUUGGUAACCUGCGGCCGGAAUACAGAGACCGUAUCCUUGUGUUUGAGAAUGGUACACUGCUGCUGCAUAACCUCAGGCUGUCUGAUGAGGGCACUUAUGAAGUAGAGAUCUCCAUCACCGACGACACCUUCACUGGAGAGGGCAGCAUCGAUCUGACGGUGGAUGAGCCAAUUUCUAAGCCACACGUCCACAUGGUCACUUCUACUGUUCUGGAACUGACAGAGAAUUUCACGCUAAACUGCACCCAUGACACGGGUACAAAGACCACCUAUAGCUGGGCAAAAGGUGGCCUUCCAUUACUGAAUGAGACCCGUCUGCUGCUGUCAGCUAACCAGAAGGUCCUGACCAUCACACGCGUACAGGUUGUUGAUGAAGAUGUCUACAGUUGUAUGGUGGAGAACCCUAUUAGUAGCAUGAGAAGUCUGCCAGUCAAACUCACAGUUUACAAAAGGAGCUCCCUUUAUAUCAUACUGUCUACAGUUGGCAUCUUCCUCCUUGUCACCCUUGUAACAGUGUGUGCUUGCUGGAGGCCAUCGAAAAAGUCAAAAAAACAGAAGUCCAAAACUAUUAUACCAAGACCCAUUCCACAAAACCACCACAUCAGGUAUCAUGACGUCAAGCCUGAGGAUGAUGUCAUCCCAAUAAUGACUGAUCAUGAGCGGAGGAAUCCUGUAUCACUUUACAUCUUAAAAGAGAAGGAUUCUCCUCCUGGUGAACCGCCGUCAACAUGUGAAACAUGCACCUCCAUUAGCAGCAGCCCUCCAAGCUACAGCAGCUCAUUACCUCCUCCAUCCGACUCGCUUGAGCCUCCAGCUCGCUCCUCUCGCAGAUACCCUCGCACCUCCACCAAAUCCCCACCGCACCAUCGCCGGAGGAAGGGACACAGUGAGAGCCCACCAGCCCCUUCCUCGCCCCGCAGCCGAGAGUCCGGUCGAGUCUCACAGUCCUCAUCUCCAGCCAGGAAGCCUGAGGAUCCAUCCACCCCUCCACAAGAACCCAGAGGCUCCCCAAAAACAUAGAUAUCGAUGCACUGACCACGUCUGCCGAGCCCACAUGCUGCAAAAAGUCAGAUAAUGACCUGCACAAAUACUUUUGCAUUAAUGUAUGUAAAUAUGUAAAUACACAUAUAUGUGUCUAUGCUACAAAACUAUGCAUUUCAAACUUGUUUAGCUUUAUCAUGUUAAGACACGUUUUAUUUGAAAGCACAUUGUGAAUGCUGAGUUGAUCUAACACUCUAGGUCUCUUCACUGUCAGAGAUGUCACUGGAAUGUGAUUUGGUUGGCUUGGCAAAGCUUUCAAGCUACAUCCACCAUCAGCACAGUCCUUCAGUGUUUUCUGACAUAGUGUUCUCACACAGUUCCAGUAGUCCAGUGGUUCCCAACCUGGGGUCCGCGUCCCGCUUUGCAGGACAUCAGAGUUUGAAAGGGGGUGUGGGAAUUAUACACUCUAAAAAAUGCUGGGUUAAAAACAAACCAAGUUGGGUUGAAAAUGUACUAACCCAGUGGUUGGGUUAAAUGUGCUAGGCAGUUUUAUUUAACCCAACUAUUGUUUAAAAAUUACUAUAUGGCUGGCUUAAAAUUAACCCAAAAUAGGUUGGAAAUAAAAAAUCAGACACAAUUACUAGGCAACAAUAAUAAUCAAAAUGUGAACAUUUAUUAAUAAUCAAUUUAAUAAAUAUUUAUUGUUUAAUUAUUAUUCAUUAAACACAUUAAUUAAUGUUAAUUUCCAACAUAUUUUGGGUUCAUUUUAAGCAAGCAAUACAGUAAUUUUUAAACAAUAGUUGAGUUAAAUAAAACUACCCAGCAGGUUGGACAAACCUUUAUCACAAUCGCUGGGUUUGUCCAUUUUUAACCCAACUUAAGUUGUUUUUAACCCAGCAUUUUUUAUAGUGUAUGCUUUGAGUUCAAAUAGGGAUGUGAAAAAACUACAACAUAACUUGACGAUACUUUGAUGUGUUGUUCUACAGCGUAAAUUACACACCCCCUUGCCGAAAAUAUGAUUUUUAAAGCAGAUAUAUUUAUUUGUUUCUAGUAAGUAACUAAAUAAGACAGUUUGGGGUGUGAGUAUGUGCAGUUUUACGUUGUAGAACAAAACUUCAAAGUAUCGUCAAGUUACAAGCUUUACUUUACUCAUAAAUCGAAAAACCCCACUAUAAAACCCCAUAGGAAAAUCUCGAAAGAACCACUGGCGAAUUAGGUUCUGAUGUCAUACCUGCAGCACUUUAUACCGUAGCACCCAUAGCCACUCUCUAGCAACCAACCAGAAUUCCCAAGCAAUUGCCUAUGAACCACCCCAGCAUCCACCUAGCAAGAUCUGCAUUCAAACUGGCCAAGUAUUCAAUUGUUUAUAAUUGUUGUAAACUUCAGGCAAUGCUUUGUCAAGCCAACAGUGAAUAUUUGUGUUUCCUUUUUUCUUUUUUUUAGUUUUUAUUUCCUCAUUCACUUGAAGAACAUGAACUGGCCUGUUUUUAUUGUGGUGAAUGUUAAUGACAAGUAGCCUAGAGCUGAUCUGUAAAGAAGAUGUUAAAUAAAUAUUGAAAAAGACCUAAAUGCAAACUUUCACAUAUUUGAUAGGAUUUUACGCAGUGUUUCACCCGCUAAUAAUCUGAGCGUUAUGUAAUGGUGUCUCUCUUGCUGAAGUUCAUACUGUUCCUGAAAAGGGAGAGACAAUGUGUGUGCUGAUUCACACAAAAGACACAGUAGGCUCCUUGUUAUGCAUGGGCACGGCCGUUGAGAACAGGCAUUGUAAAGGGAGCAGGCUGAUCUUGUGUUGAUUCAUACCCAUGCAUAAAUGUAUAAGUUGGAGACAGAAACCCAAAUAAGCACAGAGAAUGCUAAUAACUUACCCUGUGGAAAAACAAUGCCUCAAAUAGUUUCAGGCAUGAACAAGUUGUAAAAGACUACAAAGAGAAGCAUAAGUAGGACAUUACAUAACAACAAUGGUUAUUUAGAAUGAUAAAAAUGACUUCCUUUCUUUCUCGUCUGCAUUUAAAAAAAAAAACAAAAAAAAAAAACGUUACAUCUUUGCAGAGAGGCUGUAAAUAAAUAGAUAAAUAAAAACUCGGUUUUAAAUUGAUAGCCUACACAAUAUACAUUAGAUUUAUAAUUUAAAAAAAAAUAGUGGUAUGAAACUGUGUAAAACCACCAUAUUUAAUUUUAGUCGCUUAGGUUAGGUCUUAAGGCUGGGCUUGGCUUGGGGGAAAAGUAGUAUAAUUGGCGUGGAACUAAAACGAGCAUGUAGUCUUUUUCCUAUCGAACCUACAUUUGGGAGCACAUCGGGCGUGACCAAAUCGCUACAGCUUUUGAGCGGCGUUACUUUCGACAAAUAAAAUCUUAACUUUACAAAGCUGUGGCCAAUAGAAUCAUAAAUGGGCGGGUCUAAAGCGGUUGUGAUUCGGUUAGCGUCACUGACAACGGAGUUUUAAUUCUGUCAGUUACAGAAGUAGAAAUAUGAACGUUAUUUGCAUGAGGACAGUAACAACAUAAUGAAUUCCUGUCCUUUAAAAAGACUUAUAUUAAGAAGGUUUGUUUUUGCUUGAAGGGUCAAUGUUGGGCUUGCUAAUAAGGUCUGAACAUCGAAAAGCUGUAAAUGAUAGUUAUACCCAUUCAUAUCUACCAGAUUUUAUACGAAGAUGAAUCAAGCAAGAACAGCUAAGGAAAGGGUUUGCUCUUCGAUAACGCAAAAGAAUGUAUUAAAAGAAAAUAAAAGGAUAACCUCUGGACACAGAAGAAAGACCAAAGAUGUGAGAGUGUUGGCAGAGAGGAACCCGGCUGUGGCGCCUGUGGGUGUUUGGGUGGAGAGUGGAGAUGAGUGUCAGGAACAUCCCGCGGUCCGGGCUUUGCUUACGGAAGAGCUUCUAGAGGAGACCCGACGAGAGAAAGAGGAGAGUUUGCGCCGAUUUCAGGAUGCAGUUCGUAAACGUGUUUCGCAGCAGGCCCUUCUGCGCAAACAACAGCAGCUACUGAAAUCAUAUGAGACAGUUGAAUGUGAGGGUAAAGUAUUGCAACAAACCAGCAAAGCAGCCCAUCGCCUUACACUUCAAACCAAUUUAUUCCCUUCCUGGACACAUGGGGAGCGAGCUAUCUGCAGUCCCAGCUUUGUCAGUGCUCACGGGACAGAGGCCAGUUUUUCCACUCAGCACACGCAUCAUGUCAGUAAAGUCAGGAAGCAGGUGAGACACAGACUAGCUGCUCGUCAAACAGUGCAAGAGGGAGAUGAACUAUCACAGCUACCUGGUGGGAGAUGGAGAAUAUCCCCAGCUAGAAAUAAACCUGAAUCACAUACUUUAAGAGAUCAGAAGGAUUAUACUGAAGGUUCAAAUGAUGGAGGAGAGGAAAACGAGCAGAAUGUUGACACGGAAGAUGAGCUGCUGUUGGGGCAACAUGAUCAACCUUUUCAUUUGCAUCACCACAGAACCAAGACUGUAACUUUUCAGAACGAUAUGGUCUAUGAGCCAGAUCCCAUGGUUUCCUGCACAGGCUUCACAACUGACUACAGAGCUUCCCAAGUGCUUUGGCCUCAUGAGAAUCAGGAGGAGCUGAAGAGGCAGAGGCAGUCUCAGUUCCUCAUGUAUCGACGUCACUUCAUGGACAUUGAGCGAGAGCAAGUGAAGGAGCAUCAAAGGCACAGGAAACAUCUGAAGAGAACUGCAAGGAUUAAGAAUGAAAAAGAACAACUCAGGAAAGCUGAAGAGAAGAAGAUGGAAAUGCAGCGACAGCAGGAGGAAGAAAGAAAAGACAUGGCUGAGAGGGAGUAUUUGAUUUUGGAGCGAUUGAGGCUUGAUGAGGAGGAGGCAGCAGAGAAGGUAGAGCGACGAGAAAGAACAAAAAGGACCAAAGAAAGCAAACGGUACAUUGAGGCAAUACGGGCUCUACUAAAAGAGAAACUGGAGAAGGACAAAGUAGAGCUGCCUCCUCUGUGUUCUUGUGGAGACACUUUCUGGGACAGCCAUCCUGAUACCUGCGCCAACAACUGUAUCUUCUACAACAAUCCAAAAGCGUAUACUCAGGCUCUGCAGUCUGUAUUGCUAAGCUGUGAUCUGAAGGAAGGAGGCCUUGGACAAUAUUCAUCCACCUGGAAGCCAUCCUCUAUGGAUGUCCAUUCUCAAAGGAAGUGAUUGUUUUAAAUCUUUAGAGUCAUUAUUGAAUGUGUUUUAAGACUGGACAGCCUGAAGUGUUAUGUUGUAUUAACUUAAAAGGAUAGUUCACCCAAAAAGGAAAAUUCUGUCAUCAUUUACUCAGCCUCAAGUUGUUCCAAACCUGUAUGAAUUUCUUUCUUCUGCUGAACACAAAAAGAUAUUUUGAAGAAUGUCAAUAACCAAACAGUUGAUGGACCCCAUUGACUUCUAUAGCAUUUUUUUGUUUUCCAUCAACUGUUUGGUUACCCAUACUAUUCAAAAUAACUUAUUUUUUGUUCAGCAGAAGAAAGAUAUUCAUACAGGUUUGGAACAACUUGAGGCUGAGUAAAUGAUGACAGAAUUUUUCUUUUUGGGUGAACUAUCCCUUUAAUGAGUUCAUGGUGUAAUAUUUUUUGUAUUGUACUCAUUGAUGGUUUUAAAUAAACGGACAUACCUUAAUGUGACCAACAUUUUUACCGUUUAAAUAAAACUUACUGAACUGAGAAAUUCAA